CUGCAAGAAAGCUACGACCACAGCCUCUUCUCGCCCCAGAUGAAACCCAGUGGCUUCCAUGAGCUCAGGAGGAAGAAGCUAAACAAUGGAAAAUGUAGCCUGCUGGGGAUGGGGUUGGGGCCAAACUUCCCUUGCCUUCACCUCGCAGGUGUAGACAAUAAAGAGAAGAAGAGCAGGAGUCUGGGUGCUGUGAACUGGGGACCCGGGCUGGACCUGCUCAGUCACUGAGGGGAGGGGAAGAGCGGGGAUUCACCCACAGGAAACCACAAGCUGGCAGACAGCAGAGAAGAAAGCUUGAGGUGGUCUGGGGGACUGGACUCAAGAACUCAGGAGUUUGAGGAGGCCCAACUGAAGCAGGAUGACAAUGACUGUGUGUUUCAGUCAUUCACAAAUUUGUCAUUUUUCAUUCUGACAACAACUCUGGAGGUGGGGGUUAUCGUCCCCAUCUUCCACAAGAGGAAUCACAGAGCUUGCCCAGGCUCCCAAAACCUCCAAGUGACAGAACCAGUGUUUGAACCUGUUAUCUGCCAGGCCCCCCAAACUCAGCCACUAAAGGAGAAAGAAGCUGAGAGACCAGGGCCCCUGCAGGAAGGUGACAGCUGAUAGUCUGUGGGCGGAGCUGUGGCUUCUCUGAUCUCAGGCCCCUCUCCUCCGCCCUGGGCUCAGGCCCCGCCUCUGCCCCUCCCGGCAGCUGCCUGGAAGUGUGGGGUGAGAGCUCCUCCUGGGACUCUCCUUCCCCUUGGGGGAAGAAUUGUGGCACCCCAGGUUCUACCCAGGAGAGGACCCUCUCCUUCCUCAUCAACGCCCCUCCUGGGGCAGGGAGCACCUCUACCCGCAUCCCCAACCUGCCUGGCCCCCAGGGCCCAUUGGCCCCUCCAACAGUCAAGAGAAGAUGACAGUCAAGUUGGAUUUUGAGGAAUGUCUUAAGGACUCACCCCGCUUCCGGGCCUCUAUUGAGCUGGUAGAAGCUGAAGUGUCAGAAUUGGAGACCCGGCUGGAAAAGCUCCUCAAGCUGGGGAAUGGCCUCUUGGAAAGUGGCCACCAUUACCUCGCCACCAGCCGCGCCUUCAUCGUUGGCAUUUGUGAACUGGCCCGCCUGGGUCCACCAGAGCCUAUGAUGGUGGAGUGUCUGGACAAGUUCACUGAGAGUCUGAGCCACAAGCUGGACAGCCACGCAGAGCUUCUAGAUGCCACACAGCAGACCCUCCAGCAGCAAAUCCAAACCCUGGUCAAGGAAGGUCUUCGGGGUUUCCGAGAGGCUCGCCGGGACUUCUGGCGGGGGGCUGAGAACCUGGAGGCUGCUCUGACCCACCAUGCAGAGGUCCCUCGGCGCCGGGCCCAGGAGGCAGAAGAGGCAGGGGCUGCUUUGAAGACUGCACGAGCUGGGUACCGGGGACGGGCCUUGGAUUAUGCCCUGCAGAUCAACGUGAUUGAGGAGAAGAGGAAGUUUGACAUCAUGGAGUUUGUGCUGCAUUUGGUGGAGGCCCAGGCUACCCAUUUCCAGCAGGGCCAUGAGGAGCUGAGCCGGCUGGCCCAGUAUCGCAAGGACCUGGGUGCCCAGUUGCACCAGCUGGUCCUGAAUUCGGCUCGUGAGAAGAGGGACAUGGAGCAGAGACAUGUGCUGCUAAAGCAGAAGGAGCUGGGUGGGGAAGAACCAGAGCCAAGCCUAAAAGAAGGGCCUGGUGGCCUGGUCAUGGAAGGACAUCUCUUCAAAAGGGCCAGUAAUGCAUUUAAGACCUGGAGCAGGCGCUGGUUCACUAUUCAGAGCAACCAACUGGUUUACCAGAAGAAGUACAAGGACCCUGUGACCGUGGUGGUAGAUGACCUUCGUCUCUGCACAGUGAAGCUCUGCCCUGACUCGGAAAGGCGGUUUUGCUUUGAGGUGGUGUCUCCCAGCAAGUCCUGCCUCCUCCAGGCUGACUCAGAGCGCCUCCUGCAGCUGUGGGUCAGUGCCGUGCAGAGCAGCAUUGCCACAGCCUUCAGUCAGGCGCGCCUAGAUGACAGUCCCUGGGGUCCAGGCCAGGGCUCAGGACACCUGGCCAUGGGCUCUGCUGCCACGCUGGGCUGUGGCAGGACAACCAGGGGAAGGGAGCCUGGCGGCAGCAGGCAUGUAGCAGCCCAGGUGCAGAGUGUGGAUGGCAAUGCCCAGUGCUGUGACUGCCGAGAGCCAGCCCCUGAGUGGGCCAGCAUCAACCUUGGUGUUACUCUCUGCAUUCAGUGUUCCGGCAUCCACAGGAGCCUUGGAGUUCAUUUCUCCAAAGUCCGGUCUCUGACCCUCGACUCAUGGGAGCCUGAACUAGUGAAGCUCAUGUGUGAGUUGGGAAACGUUGUCAUCAAUCAGAUCUAUGAGGCCCGUGUGGAGGCCAUGGCAGUGAAGAAGCCAGGGCCCAGCUGUUCCCGGCAGGAGAAGGAGGCCUGGAUUCAUGCCAAAUACGUGGAGAAGAAGUUCCUGACCAAGCUUCCAGAGAUUCGAGGACAGAGAGGUGGCCGGAGAACCCCCAGGGGGCAGCCUCCUGUGCCCCCAAAGCCUUCCUUCAGGCCCCAGCCAGGGAGCUUCAGAUCCAAGCCAGGGCCCCCCUCUGAUGACCUGGGCAGCCUGCACCCUGGGGCCCUGCUCUUUCGUGCUUCUGGGCAUCCUCCAUCCCUUCCCACCAUGGCCGACGCCCUUGCCCAUGGGGCCAAUGUCAACUGGGUCAAUGGGGGUCAGGAGAACACCACGCCGCUGAUCCAGGCCACAGCUGCUAAUUCUCUUCUGGCCUGUGAGUUUCUCCUCCAGAACGGAGCAAACGUGAACCAAGCGGACAUCCACGGCCGGGGCCCGCUCCACCACGCAACCAUUCUUGGCCACACCGGGUAGGGGUGGCAGGGGAUGAUGGCUGUGGGGAAGAAGGCUCCGCACGGGGUUACGAUUGGCAAAGAUGAGAGAGGCUGAAGCGGCCCAGGGUCAGGCAGGAGACGAGACGUAUCUUGACAUCUUCCGCGACUUCUCCCUCAUGGCAUCGGACGACCCGGAAAAACUGAAACGGAGUAGUCAUGACCUCCACACACUCUGACCCCAGACCUUCGCGGUCCCGUCCCCCCGUUGGUCCCUGCGCCAUUAAAGCCUCUGUGCUUUGCUUUUC